rnacentral:rRNA from 1 species
CAGUCGCCGCGGUAAUACGGAGGGGGCUAGCGUUGUUCGGAAUUACUGGGCGUAAAGCGCACGUAGGCGGCUUGGUAAGUUAGAGGUGAAAGCCUGGAGCUCAACUCCAGAAUUGCCCUUAAGACUGCCGAGCUAGCAGGUGAGAGAGGUAAGUGGAAUUCCGAGUGUAGAGGUGAAAUUCGUAGAUAUUCGGAAGAACACCAGUGGCGAAGGCGGCUUACUGGCUCAUACUGGACGCUGAGGUGCGAAAGCGUGGGGAGCAAACAGGAUUAGAUACCCGCGUAGUCCCUGUCUCUUAUAC